CCCUUAGAUGUCCUGGGCCGCACGCGCGCUACACUGAGUGUCUGAGAUACGAGUCUGCCUGGUCCGGCAAGGUCUAGGUAAUCGCUAAAAGACACAUCAUGCUUGGGAUAGAUUAUUGCAAAUAUUAAUCUUGAACGAGGAAUUCCUAGUAAGCGCAAGUCAACAGCUUGCGUUGAUUACGUCCCUGCCCUUUGUACACACCGCCCGUCGCUACUACUGAUUGGAUGUUUAAGCGAGGUUCUCGAACUGCUAGCGACUUAGCUUCGGUGAGGUCGCAGUGUGGGAAGUGAACCUAGCUUUGGUGUCUAGAGGAAGUAAAAGUCGUGACA
rnacentral:rRNA from 1 species